GGGUGUUACACUCAGAAAGAGAGUGAACAACUAGAAGAUGUGGAAGAAAAUUCCAACGGCCAAUUUUGAAACAAACCAGGCAGACAGACCCAGAUGCAGAAUGCUGCAGGCUGAGGGAUGUUAGGAAGAGUUAGCCCACCACUGCUGCGCUGAAACCAGGAUGACAGAAACUGGGCCUCAGGCCAGUAGAUCAAUAAACCAAACUCCCUAUCACCUCAGACUCUGCACCUGUUAAAGCCCUGUAAAGAGCCAACAUGUAAGGACUUAUACUGACUGGAUACAGAGAAUAUGGAGCAAAUCAAAUGUAUUUAAAUAGUAAAUUACCAUAUUGUUAUAAAUAAAAAUUUACAUUGCAUUUCCUUUUA
rnacentral:lncRNA from 1 species